CCCCUACGCAUGCACAGAGCUCACAGCUCUUUGCCCAGAAACCUCCCUUUCCAGGGCCUGGACUCUGCUCCCUCCGUGGCUGGGGACUCUGCCUGGGACCCAGUCCCUGGAGUUGGGUGAAGGCCCCCGGAGAUGGGUUUGAGGCGGCACCUUUCCUUGGGCCUUCUGGUGUGCUCACCUGGUACUGCCCCUGCCAGCUCCCGCUCUCCCUCCCCAGUCACCUGCCUGUCCAUCUCGGGCGCACAGGAGGACUGCUGCUGGUCUCCGAACCCCCAGAGUCUGCAGGGCGCCCACGCAGGCUGGAUGCCGGCUCAGGACUUUGAGUCCUCGGAGCCAGAAGAAGAGCUGAAGCCAGAGGCUGAAGGCCGAGGAGAAGACACUGGAUCUGGAAUUUGAAGUCUUGAGUGUGGAGUUUAAGGAGGAGGACGGAUAUGCCCUGCAGCUGACAGCUGAGAACGCCCUGAGGGCUGGCUCAGGGACUGGGGUACGGUUGCAGGGUUCUGCAAGCUGUGGUGGAGGCACUGGCUGGUCGGGGCCUCAGGACAGGCGGCCCAGCCGGUAGGCGAGGCCCUCUUCGGGGUCCUCUCGCGACCAACCAGCCCCGCAUGGACCUGUGGGCCGCCGAGCACCGACCCCACGGCCCACCUGACAGCGUGGCCUUCCGAGAGCCCCGGCGCUCAGCCUCCAGCCCCACACUGGUCUCCAGGACUCCCGUCUCCGUGCCCAGAGCCCCAGCUGUCGGGUGGGUGCUGCAGGUGGGUGUCCCCUGGGACUUGGCUCGGGCUCUGGCAUCAGCCCUCCGUACCCACCCCCGCUGGAAGACCCAGAGUCACUGACUGAUGGGCCUGACUGUCCCCAGAUCCUCACUGAGCAGAGCAGCAGAACUUCUGAGGGUGGCCUCAUUCCGUUCUGGAGAGCCUGCAGUUGGAGAACGGAGACCGGGGUCCCAGUUUGCAGGGGGUGACGGAAAACGGAACAAUGCCCAUACAGAGCAGGGACAGCAGUGGGUGGGGUUUCUUUUGCCCAAUGGGUGAGCUUCCCCUGAGAGCCUUUGGUCCCCAAAUUCCAUCUCACACCUUGUCAUCAAGUUUUGAGAGAGGCCCGACCGAAAUGACCACGGGACAGAAGUCUGUGUGCGCCCACCUUCAACCCUGUCCAGCUCCCACCUCGGCCAGGAGGGGUUCAGCCCUGAACCAGAUCCUGGUGGCCUCAGACCCAAGGAAGAGAGUCUAGUCCUUGUCCAGGCUGAAGGAGGGUCUCCCAAUGUGGUUAUGUUCUGCAGCCAGGCAGUGUGGCUGGUGGGCCUCGAAGCCAGGACAGGUGGAAGCUAGUGGAGCCAGUAGUAGCCCAUUUCACAGGCAGUGAAACCGAGGAUCAUCCCCAAGGUCGCAGGAUUCCAUUUAAUACCAGUGACAUUUCCUGGGGGAACUUAGUGUGCACUGGGGAAGGGGAUCCAAAGCCAGGCCAGUCCCAGAGCUCGCGGUGCCACCUAGCCUGACGACAUUGGGCACAGUGUGGGCCUGAUAUAGUCCCGUAAGGCCCGUGCUGCAAGGGGCGCCCUGGUGAGGGAGGAUGCCAGUCAGGCUCCUCCGAAGAGAUGUCAUUUGAGAUGAGUCCAUUCAUUCCAUUCGUUCAACCAUCAGACAUUUGUUAGGUGCUGACAGUCCGACCCUAUGGGCCUAUCCUCGGCGGGUAGGACUCCAGGGUGCCGGGCCGGGCUCUGGGGAAGGUGUUCCAGAGGGAGGGACCAGAAUAAGCUGGCUGAGAAGGAGAGGGUCUCCCUGGCAGCAGGGGCCGCGCCGAGGUUGGAGCCCAAGGCACCUGGCUUUUCCUGCAGCUCCUCUCUCUGGGCCUGACGGGGAGCCCAGCGUGGUGGGCUGGUCGGGUUCAAGGGGGGCUGAUGGGCCGGAGAAAGGGGAGCGAGUCAGGGUAAGGUGGCAAAAGAGGCAGGUGGAUGCUCAAUUCGGGAGGCACAGGGGAGAGAAGAUAACAUCGUGAGCCGCGCGUUAGGCAGCAACCCGGCAGCAUGUGCGGGACAACCGGAAGGGACCCAGGCAGUCUCUCCUCCAGGUCUCAGCCUGUUACUGGACCACUUUAGCCUCUGUCCAUCCAUCCAUCCAUCCAUCCAUUCAUUCAUUCAUUCAUUCACUCAUCAGUCCAUUAACAAAUACUUUUUAAAAAAUCUACUAAUACUUUGGACCACCUCUUGUAUACCCGGCCACGCGCUGGGGGCGGAGAAGGCUGCUUGUGAGGGACUUGGAGGGUCCCGGGUCCUACCUGACAUCCCGCUCACUCAGACUGCACGCGCCCUGACUUCGGUGGCCCUGGCCCCUCUGUCCUAGUUUGUCACAGGGCUCCACGCACACACACAGAGGCUCAGAGCUCAGGGAAAAGCCGUCCCCUGUUCUCUGGGACCAGCCCGAGCCAGGGCCGUGCAGGCAGCUUGCAGGCUGCUGCCCUGAAUGCAUGUGGCGGGGCGGUGGCUGCAGGGAAGGGGGGCCUUGGGCUGCGGGAGCACGGCGGCUGCUCUAAUUUCUGUUAUUUAAUGCCAUCAUCUCCCUGCCAUUCCACCUCUUAAAGUGUCAGAUGUCUGCUUCUACCAAGACAAGAAAAUGGCUUUCAAGGGAGAGAAAGAUCGCUUCCCUCCUGGGAGGUCAGCAAUCACAACCCUGAUGGCAGGGCCUGGAAGCCAGUGGGGGACACAAUGCCACGGGGCCCUUCAGAGGAUAGCCGGGCCGCCUUCUUUCCGCUCAGGUGAACGAGGACGACGGGCACCUUUCUGGAGCUGGGGCUGGAGGCUCCAAGCUACCGCUGGCAGGACAGUAGCGAGACGGGGCGGGGACAGUCCCUCCGGCCUGUGGCCGGCGCCCUGGGGAAGUUGUGGCCUAGAACCGCAGGAGCCCUCGGAAACCCUCCUCCCCCCCCUUUGCCGAUGGGAAAAUGGAGCCCAGGAGGGAAGGACUUCACCCAGCUGUCUUGGGCUCUCAACUAAAGAGGAGGAGAAAGACAGCUGAGAGGAGGGUAGGGUGAGGUGGUGAGUCGAGGCAGUGAUGCAGAAGGAUGGAGAGAGGAGCCUGCAGGCACUGCAGCCAGUUCGGGGCCAGGAAUGGAUUUCCGGGCUCAAGGUCACCUCCUCCAGGAAGCCUUCUCUGCAUUGAUUUCGUUCCUUCCGGACUACCUUCCGUCGUCGUCGUCGUGUCUGCAUCAGGCACUUCGACCGUCGAAUCUCUUCGACGUACAGCUUCAUUGUGAGCUCACAAGUUGUUCUCCAUCUUGUGUGUCAGUCUUCAAAGCAGAACUGCUGAUGGUCACGGGCUGAGUGCGGAGUCCAGGGCAGAGGGCAGGGGCUUAGGAAUGCAAUGAUCCAGAGAGUAGGCAGGCAGCAGGAGGCGGGGCUCCAAGUGGGUGGCAGUGACUGACUUGAACCUCAGCCCCUGUGCCCCUGAGCCAUGUCCACAGGAUGUGCGGCCAGAAAGGACGCACUGGUGCUGCCGCUGCAUUUCCAGGAUCCUGAGACUCUGCUGGGCUGGCGAACACCCUCCCUUCUCCAGUUCUUGAAUUCACCCGUGUGUGCCGGGAUCCAUCCAGAUCCCUCCCCAGGCCCCUGACCCAUGGAUGGGGCACUGACACAUAGGCAGGGGCCCCAUUGGCGGGGUGGAGGGGGGGUUCCCAAGCGUGGAGCCAGCUCCAGGUUUCCUGCCACCAGCUGUAUGGGGUGUUUGGUGGCUUCCUCUCUGGGCAGAGCUCCACCAGACUCAUUCUGGCCCCUGGAGCUACCUCCCUACCCUCUU